CUACUUUGAGUUUUCUAUCAAAGAAAUUAGUUCUCUGUCGUUGAAGUAUUGAAGCAUUCACUUCAUAAAAAGAAGCUUGCCUGUAGGGUGAUAGUGCAGUUGCAUUCGUUGACUUUAGCAGAAGAUCAAGAUAACCAACGUAUGUGCUUCUGCUUAUAUCAAUACAGUUUUUUAAUCAUGAAUUUAAGAUAUUCAUGGAAUUUUUUAAUUGGUAAGCAACAAGUUUGAUCUUCGUUUCUUUAUGCAGUGGCAGAGCUGAUUGUGUAACAAAAUGGGAGGGAACUAGCAUACGACGACAGUAAUGCUGAUAU
rnacentral:lncRNA from 1 species